GGGGCCGCAACGGUUUCGACUGUAUUUAAAGGGGAGAAUAUAAGCGCGCCGAAGUUUCUCGCACUUCGUUAAAUAGCGAGAGAAAAAAGUAACUGACAACAAUCGUUACGCUUUAGCCGCGUAAUUUUUUGCGGCUUGUCCUGCCCGCAGUCCUAUCGGGCGGUGUCGGGGCAUAAGAAAGAUAGGGAACUUUUUCGUUGUUUUGAAGGCGGCGGCGGAAAAGAAUCAAGCCGACUGCGUUUUGCGUAUUGCGUCUUGCCAUAGCGCAAAAUCAAGUUUUAAGCCAAGACUUUGCGCGGAGAAGGUUUUUCUGUUUUUAUGCAACACGCGAGUUCGACUCUCGCCGGUUCCACCA
rnacentral:tmRNA from 1 species